rnacentral:rRNA from 1 species
UACAGAGGGGGCAAGCGUUGUUCGGAAUUACUGGGCGUAAAGCGCACGUAGGUGGCCUGUUAAGUCGGGUGUGAAAUCCCUGGGCUCAACCCAGGAAGUGCACUUGAAACUGGCGGGCUUGAGUACUGAAGAGGGUCGCGGAAUUCCCGGUGUAGAGGUGAAAUUCGUAGAUAUCGGGAGGAACACCAGUGGCGAAGGCGGCGACCUGGGCAGAUACUGACACUGAGGUGCGAAAGCGUGGGGAGCAAACAGG